ACGGAAGGCAGCAGUGGGGGAUAUUGCACAAUGGGGGAAACCCUGAUGCAGCGACGCCGCGUGAGUGAUGAAGUAUUUCGGUAUGUAAAGCUCUAUCAGCAGGAAAGAUAAUGACGGUACCUGACUAAGAAGCACCGGCUAAAUACGUGCCAGCAGCCGCGGUAAUACGUAUGGUGCAAGCGUUAUCCGGAUUUACUGGGUGUAAAGGGAGCGCAGACGGCAUGGCAAGCCAGAUGUGAAAGGCAGGGGCUCAACUCCUGGACUGCAUUUGGAACUGUCAAGCUAGAGUAUCGGAGAGGUAAGUGGAAUUCCUAGUGUAGCGGUGAAACGCGUAGAUAUUAGGAGGAACACCAGUGGCGAAGGCGGCUUACUGGACGAUAACUGACGUUGAGGCUCGAAAGCGUGGGGAGCAAACAGGAUUAGAUACCCUGGUA
rnacentral:rRNA from 1 species